UUAAUAAACUUUAUAUUUUGGAAAUUAUAUAUUGAUUUAUUUAGAAGUAUGUAUUGACUUGUUUAAUGAUUGAUUUGCUUGAUGUAUAUCAUUUGAUUAUGUAUUAUGUAUUGAUAAAAAAUAUAUCAUGAAAAUAAGUGCAAAAAAGAAUAUAAUAUUUUUUUAUUUUUAUUAUAAGACUAUUGACUCUCUUGGUAGGAGGAAUUUUUGAUUUUUAUUUUUUUUAAAAAUUAGUAUUAGGAGAAAUGUGGCAAAUGAUGGUGCUCACCCCAUAAUUUUUUUCUUUAGUGCCUACCCAAAAUGAUUUUUGUUCGGUUCACCUUCACGAAGGUCAAGUUGUCGCCCUUUUUAUCAUGGAGUUGGAAGCCAUCGCUGAAGGAAGGAAGAAGAAGAUGAUGGAUAUCAUGGUGCAAAUCUUGGGUGGAGUGGAGAGGCCACCUAAAUAACAAUCUUGGCAAAUCAUGCCAAAUUUGGAAAUCAGAUGGAUAGGACUCAAUGUUUUUGCCCCUUAGUGUCACGUGACCACACAUGACUUCUAAAUUUACCGAUAUGGGUCUUACUCUCGUCUGUUGACCUCAGCCUCAUCCGCCAAACCUGCCACCCACCGGACGAAAUCUUCCACCUACUCGUCCCCCUCUUGUCACCAAUUUUACAGCAAUGGCUGGAAAAUGGAGCCCAUAUUGAAUUCUGCAAUAACGGUCGGCUUCUGCCUCAUCUUUUGACAUUUUACUUUCCAAUUCUCCUUGACUUAUCGGCGAAGAAGAAAGAUUUGGUGCCACGUCUAUUAAAUCCAGUUAGGAAUUUGAUUUGGGAUCUAGAAUUCCCUCAAAUGGUGCCAAUGAAGAAUAACGAGUGUUUCAAUCUGUUACGGAACGUUUUGUUGGAGAUGAUAAGCUAAUUUUAUGACCUCUUUCAAGUCUUUUAUGGAAUGACAAAUUUCGGAGGCGAACGUUUGAAAGAUUAUUCCAAUUUUUUUGAGAA